GUGGAUUAGAUACCCGGGUAGUCCACGCUGUAAACGAUGCGAACUAGGUGUUGGUAGUAUUAAUCCUAUCAGUGCCGUAGCUAACGCGAUAAGUUCGCCGCCUGGGGACUACGGCCGCAAGGCUAAAACUCAAAGGAAUUGACGGGGGCCCGCACAAGCAGCGGAGCGUGUGGUUUAAUUCGAUGCAACACGAAGAACCUUACCUGGGCUUGACAUGGUCGUAGUAGUGAACCGAAAGGGGAACGAGCCUUCGGGCAGCGAUCACAGGUGCUGCAUGGCCGUCGUCAACU
rnacentral:rRNA from 1 species